rnacentral:sRNA from 1 species
CUUGGUCAUUUAGAGGAAGUAAAAGUCGUAACAAGGUCUCCGUAGGUGAACCUGCGGAGGGAUCAUUACAAGAACGCCCGGGCUUCGGCCUGGUUAUUCAUAACCCUUUGUUGUCCGACUCUGUUGCCUCCGGGGCGACCCUGCCUUCGGGCGGGGGCUCCGGGUGGACACUUCAAACUCUUGCGUAACUUUGCAGUCUGAGUAAACUUAAUUAAUAAAUUAAAACUUUUAACAACGGAUCUCUUGGUUCUGGCAUCGAUGAAGAACGCAGCGAAAUGCGAUAAGUAAUGUGAAUUGCAGAAUUCAGUGAAUCAUCGAAUCUUUGAACGCGCAUUGCGCCCCCUGGUAUUCCGGGGGGCAUGCCUGUUCGAGCGUCAUUUCACCACUCAAGCCUCGCUUGGUAUUGGGCAACGCGGUCCGCCGCGUGCCUCAAAUCGUCCGGCUGGGUCUUCUGUCCCCUAAGCGUUGUGGAAACUAUUCGCUAAAGGGUGUUCGGGAGGCUACGCCGUAAAACAACCCCAUUUCUAAGGUUGACCUCGGAUCAGGUAGGGAUACCCGCUGAACUUAAGCAUAUCAAUAAGCGGAGGAAAAGAAACCAACAGGGAUUGCUCUAGUAACGGCGAGUGAAGCAGCAAUAGCUCAAAUUUGAAAUCUGGCGUCUUCGACGUCCGAGUUGUAAUUUGUAGAGGAUGCUUCUGAGUGGCCACCGACCUAAGUUCCUUGGAACAGGACGUCAUAGAGGGUGAGAAUCCCGUAUGCGGUCGGAAAGGCGCUCUAUACGUAGCUCCUUCGACGAGUCGAGUUGUUUGGGAAU